UAAGUAAAGACAAAUCAUUGCUAACGAAAAACGAUUCGGAGCGAAGUUCGGUUAUACAUGUUUUGAAAGGCCAUAAUAAUUAUGAUUCUCAUUAAAAUUUCAUUUUAAACUCUUAUAAUAAUAAAAUAAAAUAGUUACAUUGUACUAAAAUUAUUAUAUUUUGACGACAAAGUAUGAUCUUAUAAUGAACCUUCUGUUAAAUUGUUAAGCAUUUCUGUUU